rnacentral:rRNA from 1 species
UACGGAGGGUGCAAGCGUUGCUCGGAAUCACUGGGCGUAAAGCGACCGCAGGCGGCCUGACAAGUCGGAUGUGAAAGCCCUGGGCUCAACUCAGGAAUUGCAUUCGAAACUGGCAGGCUCGAGUACGGGAGAGGGGGGUGGAAUUCCUGGUGUAGGGGUGAAAUUCGUUGAUAUCAGGAGGAACACCGGCGGCGAAGGCGGCCCCCUGGCACGCAACUGACGCUCAUGGUCGAAAGCGUGGGGAGCAAACAGG